UAUCAUGAUGAACAAGAGCUAUUAGCUCGACAUAAUCCCAGCUCGUCGACAGCAGCCUCAUCAUAUAUCUCACGUUAGAGGCUGCAAUGAGAGGAAUUCCAACCCUGAAAA
rnacentral:snoRNA from 1 species